rnacentral:rRNA from 1 species
UGGGGAAUAUUGCACAAUGGGGGAAACCCUGAUGCAGCGACGCCGCGUGAACGAAGAAGGUAUUCGUAUCGUAAAGUUCUGUCCUAUGGGAAGAUAAUGACAGUAUCAUAGAAGAAAGCUCCGGCUAAAUACGUGCCAGCAGCCGCGGUAAUACGUAUGGGGCGAGCGUUGUCCGGAAUUAUUGGUCGUAAAGGGUACGCAGGCGGUUUAAUAAGUCGAAUGUUAAAGAUCGGGGCUCAACCCCGCAAAGCAUUGGAAACUGAUAAACUUGAGUAGUGGAGAGGAAAGUGGAAUUCCUAGGGUAGUGGUGAAAUGCGUAGAUAUUAGGAAGAAAACCAGUAGGGAAGGCGACUUUCUGGACACAAACUGACGCUGAAGUACGAAAGCGUAGGGAGCAAACAGG